ACAACAUAAAAGUAGCUUGUUUCAUUUCUACCAAGCUUUACAGGCAGGUGAAAUAGUUCAGACAUUGUGUUCAAAGUGAUUAUUUAGGAAUAUACUUACGAAUACGGCCGCUACAUAAUGCAACAGAAUUUGUAAUCCGAAAAUGUUGUCUUAUAUGUAGUAUCUUCUGCUCAUUAUCCAUGCCUGAAACACUGGCAAACUCAUUUAAAUAGACUAUAUAUCUUAUUAAUUCUUUAUAAGUGUAAAAUCAGGACAACAUUAUUAAACAUUUUAAAUAUUAAAGACUUGAAAGUUAUCAGCAGAAACUGACAUCAUUGGCAAUACUGGUACAUGGUUUAGUAAGCUUUUAAAAUUCUUGGAAGGAGUUACUAAAAUUUCCUCUCGACCUUUUGAAAUUUAUUCUUCAUCACUUGAGGAACUGCGCAUACUGCCUCUUUUUCCUUUUUUCCUUUCACAGAAUAUGGAGUGCAACUCAUCAUCUAAAGCAGAAACGAAUCCUUGGAACCAAAUGGCAACUGCUGUUGCUCCUGGAUCUGGUUUUGUUAGCUGUUCUUCACCAACGUAACUAGCACGUCCGACCCUACGUGUUUAUAAGAUCAGUUAAUUAUCAUGACUGUAAUGAAAUAAAUAAAAAAAAAAGCUA